UACGUAGGGGGCGAGCGUUGUCCGGAUUUAUUGGGCGUAAAGAGCGUGUAGGCGGCCAGGUAGGUCUGCUGUGAAAACUCGAGGCUCAACCUCGAGACGUCGGCGGAAACCAUCUGGCUAGAGUCCGGAAGAGGAGAGUGGAAUUCCUGGUGUAGCGGUGAAAUGCGCAGAUAUCAGGAAGAGCACCCGUGGCGAAGGCGGCUCUCUGGGACGGUACUGACGCUGAGACGCGAAAGCGUGGGGAGCGAACAGG
rnacentral:rRNA from 1 species